GCCUACCGGUGGCCGGGCGGGAUGUAACCCGCUGCUGAGCUGGCAGCUCUGUGUCGCUAGGCUUCGGCCCGGCCGCCGCCGCACAUAAGCUGCGAGGAGGAGCUUUACGACUUCCCGGUCUUCGGGGCCGGGCGCAGCAAGGGCCAGACUCUGCGCUAGCAGGCGCUGCGCGCCAACCGGCCGGCACCUGUCGCAGAAGGUGCAACCGAUCGCACUGUCGCGCCGAAGCUCCUCAAUGGCCAGCGCCAGCUGCAGCCCCGGCCGCCCACUCGCCUCACCUGAGCCUGGGCGAAUCUGGAUUGGGAAAGUUGACAUUAAUCAACUCAUUAUUCCUCCCAGAUUUGUAUUCUCCAGAGUAUCCGGGUCCUUCUCAGAGAAUUAAAAAGCCUGUACAGGAGCUUGAAAAAUCACAUUUGAGAAGAGGAUUGGAUCCUAGCCAUAACAUAAAUAUAAGGGUGGAACCAAAGUUUUAAUCAAAGAAGGUGGUGUUCAGUUGCUGCUUACAAUAGUUGAUACCCCAGGAUUUGGAGAUGCAGUGGAUAACAGUAAUUGCUGGCAGCCUGUUAUCAAUUACAUUGAUAUUAAAUUUGAGGACUACCUAAAUGCAGAAUCGCGAGUGAACAGAUGUCAGAUGCCUGGUAACAGGGUGCAGUGUUGUUUAUACUUCAUUGCUCCUUCAGGACAUGGACCAUUACAUAACUGAAGACUCCCACCUUCAGGCAGGAUUGGGUAGUACGUGUUUGUAACUACCUGGCAUUGCCUUUUGUUGAGGAAGGGUAGAUGUCUACCCAAAUGGAAUAUUGAGUAUCAGAGACUUCAAAUGAUAACUUUUGUUUGUUUGGAGAAAAUCUUGAGGACGUGAUCACUGUACAAAAGCAUGGCAAAAUGAGGAAACCACUGACAGGUGAAGAAUUUGCACAAUGGAAAACCACCUUGACCAUCUCAUGACUUUAUACAGGAAUCGGAGACAUCCAAGGCCAUUCCAUUUCUAAAUCACACUUAUCCCUCAAUCAAGUCAGUGACUGGAUCAUCUCCUAAGGUUUCACCUGCUUUGCAUCAGGGCAGGGUUCCACUCCCAUUGCCCAGGCUGGAGUGCAGUGGCGUGAUCUUGGCUCACUGCAACCCCCUCCUCCCCUAUUCAAGCAAUUCUUCUGCCUCAGUCUUCUAAGUGGCUGGGACUACAAGCGCGUGCCACCACACCCGCGCUUAUAAUAGAAAAUAAUUUUUCUGUUUUUUUGUAGGGAUGGGGUUUCACCAUGUUGGCCAGGCUGGCCUCGAACUCCUGAGCUCAAGUGAUCAACCUGCCUCUGCCUCCCAAAGUGCUGGGAUUACAGGUGUAAGCCACCAUGCCCGGCCUCUGAUUUUUCUAUAGUGAGAACAUAACUAUUUCUGUAAUAAUAUUAAAAAUACUUGUCAGUAUCACAUAGAAUUUUCAACAGCAGAUUCAAAUAAAAUGAAUCCUUGUGUGUGUGUAUAUAUAUAUAUAUAAAUGUAGAAGGAUAACAUCUAUAAUAGGUGAUUACUAUGUUGACUGUAUUUACAGGGAUGGAGAAAACUCAAAAGAGCCAUUAGUAUUUUUAAUGGAGAAACUCUUAAUCCAAUCAAUAAGGAAAGCAACUGUUAUGGAAAGAAUGAGAUGUCCAAGUGUUUGAAACAAUGCUCUGAACACACUUCAUACUUCUGAGGAAGAGCUUUGAACAAAGGAGUAAACAAGUAGAAUGCUGAGAAAAAUAGGGAGACGACAGUGGCACAUGACACCUAGUUUUUUUUUUUUUUUUU
rnacentral:lncRNA from 1 species